UUCCUACGGGGGGCAGCAGUGGGGAAUAUUGGGCAAUGGGGGAAACCCUGACCCAGCGACGCCGCGUGAGGGAAGAAGGUUUUCGGAUUGUAAACCUCUGUCCUUGGUGACGAUAAUGACGGUAGCCAAGGAGGAAGCCACGGCUAACUACGUGCCAGCAGCCGCGGUAAUACGUAGGGGGCAAGCGUUAUCCGGAUUUACUGGGUGUAAAGGGAGCGUAGACGGCGAUGCAAGUCUGAAGUGAAAGGCGGGGGCCCAACCCCCGGACUGCUUUGGAAACUGUAUAGCUGGAGUGCAGGAGAGGG
rnacentral:rRNA from 1 species